AAAACUAAAAGAACAAAGGAAAAUUACAAGCCAUAUCACUCAUGAACAUAGAUUCAAAACCUAAACAAAAUAUCAGCCAACCUAAUGUUGUAGUACACAAAAAUGAGAAUACAUCAUGACCAACUUAGUUUUUUUUCCUCCAAGGAAAUCAAGGUUGAUUUAACAUUAGAAAAUGAAUUCAAAGUUUACCACAUUAACAGAUUAAAGGAAAAAAAUCCUAUGAUUAUCUCAAUAGAUGGAGGAUAAUCAUUUGAUAAAUUUCAAUAUCCUAAUAAACUACAAAAGAGAACUUCCAUCACUUGAUAAAGGGUAGUAUUUACCAAGAACCUAAUGCAAACAUCAGGUAUGGAGCUAUUUCAAUUAUAUCAAUGAAAGAUGACAGUGUCUUGCAUUAGGAUGGUGGCCUGUAUUUGAGGUGGUGGUGGAAGAUGGAAAGACAUAGAUGUAGGAAAAUUUAUGGUCUCCUGAGAGAAGAGACCCAUCACACAUAUAUUUUGAGAAGCAUCUAGCCUAGGGCUCUGCAUUUAAUAGAUGUCCAAAGUAUGCUUAUUGACUGAUAGAUGAAAGAGUAUCCUGAGACACUGCCAUAAUUUCAAAGUGGUAUAGCUUGGAGAUUAUUACAGGCUCCAGAAGAUACUUGCUUAGAGUUGUGCUCUGGUCACAAUCCACCCUGGGGUGCUCACUUUCCACUCAUUGUAUUUUUCAUAUUUAGCUGCCAAAAGACCUAAUUUGUCCAAAAAUCCAAACUAGAGCUUUUCAUUAUAAAUUUGUUCUAGACAAUUACUGUCUUUGAAGAGUACCCAUAAUAGAUUGCUCUAAUGUAUUUGCACAAUGCUAGACUCUAGAGGGAUAUUGGCAAAAAUAGAGUUAAGUACCAAACUCUAAACCAGGAUCAUGCAAUUGCUUUGUGAAAUAGAAGAAAAUUGAUGAAUCCUAGUCUGACUUAACUAUAUGUACAACCUUGAUCAAAUCACCCAACUGUCUUCCUACGAAUUCCUGAAGCAGAUCUCAAAACAAAAACUUGGAUCAAAGAGUUUAUUUGGAAUUUGAUCCCAAAUAAGGGAGGGGAUGAGGAAAGUGAGACAGAGAAGGGAGACAAAGCAAUAAAGGGUGUCUGAAUGAGGCAUUACCACUGUGGGCCUCUGGCGCUCCAUCCUUCUGGAGACCAUCUCAGUAAUCCCGUAAAAGGCAGUUCAGAACUGUCCUGCCAAGGGACAUGGCAGUUGGGAGAUUUCUUCACUGAUUCUCUUCUUUCAUUGAGCAAAUUGCCCCUGGCACUUCUGGGCUGCUGUGCCAGUGAAUGGGAAAGUACGUGAAGUGAGAAGUUGUCAGCUUCAGGUGAACUCAGGGUGGGCCUUGGGGAUGUGAAGUCGGAAACCAGCAGCAUCUGCAAAAGUAGCCAGUCUCAAUUUUUAUUUCCUGAUCUAUAAAUAAAAAUUUCUUAUACAUUACAGGGCAGUGGUGGGCAUUAAAAUUUUCUAUAUCCAUUUUUAUUAAGAAGGUAUAUUUGCCCCAAAUGCUCUGGGGAAAGGGUGAAGGCUAUGACAAUAUGCAGCAGUAUGGUUCUCAUAACUCAUGAAUCCCAUGACCUGGAAAGCAGCAGUUACAAGUUUGUCUUGUCUUUAUAAUCUCCUUUGAGCAUGAUCCAAGAGAAGAUAUUGAUAGGGACUUGAUGAAAGAGGCCAAGUAGAAAAGUCUGGGUUCACCGCAAGUGUUUAUUUAACUCAGAUACUUCAAAAGCAUUUAUUGGAGAAACAUUUGCAGAUUCAUGUCAGAUGAAUCAACAUCCUUCACCCAUAUCAGAGUCAUAGCCUCGGGGAGUAAAUUUAGUUGGCUAACCUGUGGCUUACAUGGUAUGAGACCUGCCUGAGAAACUUUGAGAAUCCAGUGUCAAAUUUCUGGGCUGCCUUUCCCAUCCUGGUGCAGGAGGGACAAUCUGACCUGGGGUUGGUGAGGGCAGUGGUUCUCAACCUUGAGUGUUCAUCAGAAUCACUUGGAGGGCAUUUGAAAACAUAGAUAGCUGCCCCUCCCCCUGGAGUGGUGCCCAAGACUGAGCAUCUCUAAGUUCCCAGGUGAUGCUGAUGCUGCUGGUCCAGGGACUAUAUUUUGAGGACCAAUGGUUUAGAAGCUAGAGACGUAUAAAUGAGUAGGAGAAGGCAGGGUUAUGAGUCACUAAGUGCUCUGCUCAGAGUUGGAUUAUAAAUCUGGGAUCCAAACUCAAGAUCAGCCUCCUGUUUCUUCAAAGAUGUCGCUGCAGGUUCAUAAUCUCAAAGGACAUUUCCAUUUACUUUCCCUUCUGCCUUUUGCCCCAUUCCUAGCCCAUAAUACACUCAGAAAUCUACCACCUCCCAGAAUCAGACCAGUCUUCCAAAGCAAGGCUGUGUUUAGAAGAAAAGGGGGGAUUUCAGUAAUAACUAGACUUUGCAUGGGAGAAUGAUGGAGGGACUAAAAGUGAAGAAAAGAGAGAAAGAAGGAGGGAGAGAAAGAGUAAAAAGGAAAAGAGGAAAGACAGGCAGGCAGGACAUAGCAUUAUAAAUGCGCAUUAUGUUCCAAGUUCUAGGCUUUGAUUUUCACAUACUUUAGAAUGUCGAAACUUCACAAACAUUCCACAAGUCAUGUAUUAUCAUCCGCAUGAGGAAACAGAGGUUUAAAGAGAUUAUGGGAUCUUCUCAAGCAGAUGAGACUGGUUGAAGCCACAAUGUUGCAGAUAUCCCAGGAAUAGUAUUCCUGAUGCAAGAAGAGAUUUUCUCAGUACAGGGCUUCUUGGAAUGGACAGGACUGGCCCAGAAAGGUGGACUUGGGGGUACAGACCUACCAAUGGAAGAAGCCAGUAGAGACCUAACUCUCCAUCUGGAUGAAGCCAUGAUGUAACCAACAGCUUGGCAAUUGUUGGUGUUCAACCUGGAGAAACAUUCAACAUCCCACUGGAAAGUGCCUGUCAAAUGAUGAAAUGGCUGAUAUUUUAA